UGCCCCAGUCCUGGGAUUUCCAGGUGUCCACAUUCAGUGAUCAAGACAGAACACAGAGAACUCACCAUGGAAUUUGUGCUGGGCUGGGUUUUCCUUGUUGCUCUUUUAAAAGGUGUCCAGUGCGAGGUGCAGCUGGUGGAGUCUGGGGGAGACCUGGUGAAGACUGGGGGGUCCCUGAGACUCUCCUGUGCAGCCUAUGGAUUCACCUUCAGCAGCUAUGGCAUGAGCUGGGUCCGCCAGGCUCCAGGGAAGGGACUGCAGUGGGUCGCAAGUAUUAGCUAUGAUGGAAGUAACACAUACUAUGCAGACUCUGUGAAGGGCCGAUUCACCAUCUCCAGAGACAACGGCAAGAACCAGCUGUAUCUGCAGAUGAACAGCCUGAGAACCGAGGACACGGCCGUGUAUUUCUGUGCAAAAGACACAGUGAGGGGACAUCAGUUCCCCAAGCUGGUCAGCCCACUCUUCCAGGCCCUAACACAGGGUCCAGAUGUGUCCUCACAACUGGAUCUUCCAGCUUCUCAUGAUCUUCAAUCCCUCAUUCAGGCAGGUGUCCAUGGGGAGGUGCAGCUGGUGGAGUCGGGGGGAACUGGUGAAGCCUGGGGGGUCCCCGAGACUCUCCUGUACAGCCUCUGGAUUCGCUUUCGGUGA